rnacentral:piRNA from 1 species
UACAGAUGAUGUCGGAUCCAAUUCGGAA